rnacentral:rRNA from 1 species
CGCGUGAGUAACCUGCCUUGGAGUGGGGAAUAACAGUUGGAAACAGCUGCUAAUACCGCAUAAUAUGUCUGUGUCGCAUGGCACUGGGCAUCAAAGAUUUAUCGCUCUGAGAUGGACUCGCGUCUGAUUAGCUAGUUGGCGGGGUAACGGCCCACCAAGGCGACGAUCAGUAGCCGGACCGAGAGGUUGGCCGGCCACAUUGGGACUGAGACACGGCCCAGACUCCUACGGAAGGCAGCAG